rnacentral:rRNA from 1 species
CCUACGGGGGGCAGCAGUGGGGGAUAUUGCACAAUGGGGGAAACCCUGAUGCAGCGACACCGCGUGGGUGAAGAAGCGCUUCGGCGUGUAAAGCCCUAUCAGUGGGGAAGAAAAAGGACGGUACCCAAAGAAGAAGCACCGGCUAAAUACGUGCCAGCAGCCGCGGUAAUACGUAUGGUGCAAGCGUUAUCCGGAAUGACUGGGUGUAAAGGGAGCGUAGACGGUUGUACAAGUCUGAUGUGAAAGCCCACGGCUCAACUGUGGGAGUGCAUUGGAAACUGUAGAACUAGAGUAUCGGAGAGGCAAGUGGAAUUCCUAGUGUAGCGGUGAAAUGCGUAGAUAUUAGGAGGAACACCAGUGGCGAAGGCGGCUUGCUGGACGAAAACUGACGUUGAGGCUCGAAAGCGUGGGGAGCAAACAGGAUUAGAUACCCGUGUA